rnacentral:rRNA from 1 species
GACGAACGCUGGCGGCGUGCUUCAUACAUGCAAGUCGAACGAGAAGCUGACUUCGGUCAGUGGAAAGUGGCGGACGGGUGAGUAAUAUGUAGGAAAUCUGCCUUUAGGAGGGGGACAACAGAGGGAAACUUCUGCUAAUACCCCAUAUGAGCGUAGCUGAAAUGCUAUUCUUGAAAACUCCGGUGCCUAAAGAUGAGCCUGCAUCUGAUUAGCUAGUUGGUAGUGUAAUGGACUACCAAGGCGACGAUCAGUAGCUGGUUUGAGAGGAUGAUCAGCCACAAAGGGAAUGAGACACGGCCCAUAAUCCUACGGGAGGCAGGAGUAGGGAAAUUUGCGCCAAGGGCGAAAGCCUGACGCAGCAACGCCGCGUGAACGAUUAAGCCCUUCGGGGUGUAAAGUUCUGUCAGUGGGGACGAAACUUGACGGUACCCACAGAGGAAGCACCGGCUAACUCCGUG